GGGGUUGCGGGGCGUCCCGGCCGGGGCGGAGAACGCCGGGGGCGCGCGCCGCGUACCUGCCGGGCCUGACACCCGCCUGACAGCUCGCGGCUGGAAAGCACCUCGCGGCCUGACGUCAGAUCCCCUCUCCUCCCCUCAGCGCGCGCCUCGCCCUCCCCACCGCCUGGAGGCAGAAAACAAACUUUGAGUGGAGCGGGGCCAGCUACGCCCACCCCCGCGCGGGGAGGGCCGGCGGCGCUGGGUUUAGCCACGCCUACUGCGGGAGGGGCGGGGCGGCACCUCCUUCCUGCGCCCACCCCCCUCAGGAAUGCCACAUGGCCUCGAGCGGCUAGCGGUGGGACCUCACUCGCGCUGUCUGCUAGGGGGCAGGAAGUGGCCCUCUCCUCCGCUCUGAGAGCGUUUCCGGAGCGCCUACUGUGUGCUUGUUGCUAGGGUGGGGCGUUACAAGGAAAGAAAGUGCCAGACCCGACCUUAGUAAGCGUGCUCGCUGCAGCGGUCCUCGGGCUGGCGCUGGGAAACUGAGGGACACUUAGUCCUGAGAACCUCCAGUUGGUAAGGGACAGUUCAGGAUGCGAUGGCUCUUCGGUCCCCCAGGGCCCACGGAGUCGAGAAGAAAGCCAUCUCCGAUAAAACCCCAAGCAGGUAGCCCAGUCACGCACUCGAGAGGCGACCGGGGGUGAUAACUGGCAGCGCUUAGGGAGCGUUGAUGACGCAGCCAGGCUGGCCCCGCGCUUCGUGGGCAUCAUCCCGUGCAGUUCUCCGGUUAUCUGGUUCACCUGGACUUCAUAAACGCCAGACUUCUUUACAAGUUGAGCAUGCUGUUGUCCGUCCCAAAUGUCAGUGAUACUACUCGGUGCUCUCUAUUGCACAUGUGGUCCAGGGUGGCAGCCAUAAUUUCUUGGCCAAGUUGUGCUCCAUCCACAGCCAUCUGAGAGAACAAGGGAGACCUGGGCACUACUAGGCUGGCUUUGAAUUCCUGAGCUCAAGUGAUCCUCUUGCCCUCAGUCUGCAAGCAGCAAGGACUGCAGGGUCUUGCUAUGUACUUCAGGCUGGUCUUGAACUCACUGUGUAGUCCAGGCUGGCCUCAUACUCAUGGCAAUCCUCCUGCUUCCUGAGUGCUGAGAUUCCAGGAGUCAGUUGAUCUUAUGGACAAAUGCUCAUCAGGACUCUCCUCAAAUCUGCUUCCUGUUACUAGCUACAUCCUAGUCAGUGCCUGACCAAGGCCAGAAUCCAUGGUACAACUGCUGUUUCAGGAAGCUGCUCACCAGGUGCUUCUCCAAUUAGUCCUUCUUCUUUAUGGUUGACCUGAUCGAGAAAAUGUCACAGCCCCAAACUGCAUAUAUUUCUACAUUGCUACCCAAC
ensembl:lncRNA